CAAUAGCGUAUAUUAAAGUUGUUGCAGUUAAAAAGCUCGUAGUUGGAUUUCGGGACGGACCAGUUGGUCCGCCGCAAGGUGUGUUACUGACUGGUCUGUUCUUCUUCGCAAAGACUGCGUGUGCUCUUCGUUGAGUGUGCGUAGGAUUUACGACGUUUACUUUGAAAAAAUUAGAGUGUUCAAAGCAGGCUAUCGCUUGAAUACAUGAGCAUGGAAUAAUGGAAUAGGACUUUGAUCCUAUUUUGUUGGUUUCUAGGACCGAAGUAAUGAUUAAGAGGGACAAUUGGGGGCAUCCGUAUUUCGUUGUCAGGGGUGAAAUUCUUGGAUUUACGAAAGACGAACAACUGCGGAAGCACUUGCCAAGAGUGUUUUCAUUAA
rnacentral:rRNA from 1 species